CGGCGAAAGUUUCUUUGUGGCCUUUUUUGGAGGGAGCUAGUGGGGGCUUCUCGCCGAAGGUGGAGAACGAGCCCUGCGAGUGAGGACGUGACACCCCGCCCCCAUAGAUGGCAGGGAGGCACUUGAUAAACUCGCCUGAGCCAGGUGUGGGGGUGGAAGCAGCAUUCCAUUGCAGCAACGUCUGCUCCCAGAUCAGACUCAGCUGGGGUUCCAGAGGGGAGAUGCUGAAAACGGGGAAGGAAAAGGAGCAAUCUAAAACCAGAGUGCCUCUGGUGCUGGUGGGAGGAGAAUAUCCCAAGGAGCCGGAGCCCCCCCUGAGAUGAAGAGCCAGGCGCCCCUUGGGGACCCCGAGAAAGAGCAACAAGUAGUCCCCUCCGCCGCAGAGCUAUCAGGAGAGUCUGUAUCUGAAGAAGGAAGACAGCUGGGGUUCCAGGAGAAAACUACAGAAGCCAGUCCACACAGUGUGGACUUUGGGGGCUCAGCUGCCAGUUGGUCUGAGCCCUGGAAUGGACUUGCUGUGUGGCCUUGGGAAAACCAUGUAGCCUCUCUGUUCUGUUUGUUUGUGCUAAAUCAUUGCUGAGGCUUCCUCCUGCACCAGUUUUCCAUUGCCGCUGUGAGUGGACAUGAGUCUUGACCAAAUCAUAAGUGCCUAGUUACUGGGAUAAAAAUGAGUUAGAAUCUGGGAUUCUGGUCCUUAACCCCGUGUCACCAUCUGCUGGAGCAGUGUGAUGACAGGGCCAGGUGAAUCAGAGUCACCCAACACUUGUUAUACACGCAGAUUCCUGCUCUGCUCCCUCUCCCACUACCCAUGCCCCACUGAGUCCAAACCUCGAGGGCGGGGCCUAGAAGGCCCCCUUCCUUUAUGGGUUCAUGGAGGGCAGAACAGCGACCCCACCCGGAGCCAGCCAUGCAUCAGUAGCUCUUCCUAUGUAUCAGGCAUGCCAAGGUGGUUUCUGGAAUCUUGUGCUUGUAUUUCCCUCUGCCUAGAAAGAUUUCCCAUAUGGCUGGUUUCUUCUCAUGUGUCACCUGCUCAGAGAGGCCUUGGCUGGCCUCCCCGUCUCUACUCACUAUCCCAUCACGUGUUUCCUUUUCUUCUCAGCACUGUCAUUUUCUGAAGUUCAUCUCAUCUCCUUGUAAAUUAUCUGUUGCUCCUACUGGAACAUAGACCUCCCAUCCCCCCCCACCCCGACUCCCACCCCCAGGGGCAGAAACCCUGCCUGGCUUAUUGGAGGCUAUACCCCAGCACGAGGCCCAUGGGAGGUGCUCAGUAAUAUAAGAAUUCAUGAAUAAAUGGACACUGGAGGAAUCCUCUUAUCUCUGAUGCUGAAGAUGCUUCUCUGAGAUGCAAGAAUGGACACCCUCUCCCUACCCUGGGGGACCUAGGCCUGCCCUGGGCGCGGUUUCUGAGGAAGACGAGGGGCACCUCCUGCCUCCCCACCAUGACCAUUGCUUCCCCAGCACCCAGAGAAGACCUCAGUGGAGCCAGAGCCGCGCAUCCAGCAGAGUCUCAGCUGGGGUUAUAGGACAGGAAAACCUUGACUUCAGGGGCUGUGGACUAAGUUCUCCUUACUUCAUCGUCUCCAAAACCAUGGGUGCCAGUGAAGCUGAGGUUAGAUGUGAACUGAGUGCUGCUUACCCACCAGAUCUUCCCUGCCGCCUGACUUUGACUGGACGGCUGACCUUGACACUUCCCAUACAAGCUUCUCUCUACUUUGCUAACCUGAUAGAACAAUGAUGUCAUAAAGAAACAAAUAGUAGGUGUUUAAUAAAUGCUUGCCAGUGUGAAAUAAGGAAGACAAUUGCAUGAGGACCUCCAAACUCUUCCUUACCCUCCAUCUAUUUAUUGAUAACCAUAAAUUAGUUUGUAAGGUGAGCCCUCAUCCCUUAGUACAGAGUCAGUGGCUUCUUUCUCUUAUUAGCUUUCAGCGAGACACAUCUACAUACAGUUCCUUCGUCACGAAUACCUGCCCCUCCAGGCAUUAUCCUGUUUGCAUCUCAGGAGCAGAAGAGGGAUCAGCAUUUCCUUGAUAUGAAGGAGGAAACUGAGCCUUAGAGGGUUGAAGGACCUGAGGAGACAGCAGGGGGAUUGGGGCUCAAGUCCCAGUGUCCUGACUCCAGGUUUCGUGUUCUUCCCACUCUGCCGUUAUUCUCAUCCAGCUUCCUCUGCAGACACUUCAUAGAGCUGUGACACGGGAAGCAGCGUGGCAGUGCCUCAUCGACUGGCCGUGACAAGGAGAAUUGACUCUCGGGAUAAGGAAAUCAAUGAGGGCUGAGGAGAGCAGCAAGGAAGGAGAGUAGAAGAUGGAGCUGGAGGAAACUGUAGGACUUGGCCAGAGGCCUAUCGAGGGAGAGCCUUCCAGACUCCGCGGGUCCUUGUGUGUGUCGUCCAAAGGGCCACAGAAAAGCCACCAGACACUGUGUUUUCAAGAGCUUAUGGAAGCAGUGAGAACGAGGUAAAU
rnacentral:lncRNA from 1 species